GACACUCACCCAGCGCCAUACAUUGCUUCGAGAAGACAUGUCAAGGGGCAAUGUACAAGCCCUUGACACGCAUUCUGCCCGACAUCCCUCAUGUCUCAUUUUGGGGGUCUAACAAACCACCCCCACUUGUUAAGCUCGACGUCCUCGUCGAGACUGAACUCAAGUGGCCCACCAUUUGAACUUUAGCAACAGAGGUUCCACACAGCAUCACCUUGUCGCCCUCAAUGCAGUACUGUCGCACAGCACUUUCCUUUGCAAGAUUCACUG
rnacentral:lncRNA from 1 species